CUCUGACGACGACAUCGAGGUUUAUGCUGAUACUGUAACAUGUUUCAUCAAGCCCCAGUAAAGUUCUGAUGUUCCCCAGCAAACCGUUCCUGAUAAAUCAUUGUCUGAGAGAGAUUACCAGAGAUGUAGUCGGGGCCAUACGCACUAAUACAUUGUAACAAGGAGGAGGGCAUGGCUGGGCCGAGACAAUGCAUGGCCGGCGCUGAAUCAGCUGAUCAGCGGGAGAGUAAGAUCAAAGGGUGCCGGAGUGAGCACGGGGAGAGCGGCAUAAAAGAGCCACACCGCCAGCAGACGACAGAGAGAUGGUCCCCAGAGUUAUGAUUGUGAAGCUGAGAGUUUAUUAUAGUGAAGUUGCAGAGAUUAUUAUUGUGACAUGGAAGAAUUUAUUAUUGUAAAGCUGAGAGCAAUGUGGUCAUUAAAAGCCUAACCUG